rnacentral:tRNA from 1 species
GUCUCUGUAGCGUAAUGGAUAGCACGUUGAACUUCUAAUCCAAAGGUCGUGGGUUCGAGUCCCACCUGUGAUG